rnacentral:lncRNA from 1 species
UCACUACAAGGCGCUUGGCCCAGUUGAUGAGGGUUGACCCCAUGACCCCAAGGUCAGUGGUUCAAACCCCAGCGCCCCCAUGUUGUUUUUGUUCUCUUUCUUUCUUUUAUUUUAUUUUCUCUUUUUUUCUUAUUUUAUUUAAUUUUCAUUUUAUUUAUUUCACCACUCAAAUUAAAAUUUUAAUCAAAAUAUUUUGUGGGCAGACUUG